CUGGGUUACUUACCUGGAAAAAUAGGUUAUGUUUGAAUAGGAAGAGCCCCAUGGGAUAUCACCAUCUGUUACUUCCUCCAGGUUCAUUUAGGGUAGCUCAGCUAAUUUUUUAAAUUUUUAUCUUGCAUAUCUGCCCUGGGUGAGUACUGACCUGCUAUGCUGGCAGCUGAGCCUGCUGCUUUUUUGUUCCUUCAAGCUGUCAUGAACUUCAUCUGGAGAGCCGAAUGCAGCUCAUAAUGUGAGACAAAUUUACACAAGAUGAGAAACCACACAAGAUGAGAACAUCUACGUGUUCAAAAUGCAGACUUCUAGCCUGAUACAGUGAGGAGGGAAGUCUGUAACUGAAAAUUAAUUCAUACUGGAAAGCGCAGUCAAUAGACAAUUACUAAGAUACAGCUUGUGUUUAUUGCUUGAGGAAUUUUACACAAGAUUUAUAACAUCUAAAAGCAAUUACCUUUACAUGUAAAGAACAGUCUAAAAAGAUGAAACUUAAUUAAUCUUGAAGCCUUCAAACAUUCUCUAUCUCCUAUAAAUAAUCAUCAACCAGACAGCAAUAAAUAAAUAAAUAAAGCACGAAUGUCGACAUGUUAUCCACAUCAAAUGAUUACCAAAAAAUAAAAAAAAUAAUAAAAAAAACAAAUUAAAAAAAAAUCCCCACUUUGUCCACAAUCCAUUUUGCACUGAUAGAACUACUGUUCUGCUCCAGAUGUAAGAAAUGAAAAUCCGAUGUAAUGGAAGUAAUGGAACUGGAAGUAAAAUAGGC
ensembl:lncRNA